rnacentral:rRNA from 1 species
GACGAACGCUGGCGGCGUGCUUAACACAUGCAAGUCGAACGGAAAGGCCCUGCUUUUGUGGGGUUCUCGAGUGGCGAACGGGUGAGUAACACGUGAGUAACCUGCCCUUGACUUUGGUAUGACUUCAGGAAACUGGAGCUAAUACCGGAUCGGAGCUCCUGCUGCAUGGUGGGGGUUGGAAAGUUUCGGCGGUUGGGGAUGGACUCGCGGCUUAUCAGCUUGUUGGUGGGGUAGUGGCUUACCAAGGCUUUGACGGGUAGCCGGCCUGAGAGGGUGACCGGCCACAUUGGGACUGAGAUACGGCCCAGACUCCUACGGGAGGCAGCAGUGGGGAAUAUUGCACAAUGGGCGGAAGCCUGAUGCAGCAACGCCGCGUGCGGGAUGACGGCCUUCGGGUUGUAAACCGCUUUCGCCUGUGACGAAGCGUGAGUGACGGUAAUGGGUAAAGAAGCACCGGCUAACUACGUG